rnacentral:lncRNA from 10 species
GCCAUGCCUGAGCCCCCACCCCCUCCCCGCCACCCCCAGCCCACUGCUGUGGACUCCUGCGCCGCCCGAGCCUCCUCGACGAGCACCGCCCCCUGCUCCAGGGCGCCCAGUCCCAUAGACCGCCCGAAGGCUGAGGACUGCUGGCGCAUGGCGCGGGACUGGCAGGCAGCUCCACCUGCGGCCCCUGUGCGGGAUCCACUGCGUGAAGCCAGCUGGGCUCCUGAGUAUGGUGGGGACUUGAAGUAUCUUUAUGUCUAGGUAAGGGAUUGUAAAUACACCAGUCAGCACUCUGUAUCUAGCUCAAGUUUUGUAAACACACCAAUCAGCACCCUGUGUCUAGCUCAGGGUUUGUGAAUGCACCAAUGGACACUGCAUCUAGCUAAUCUAGUGGGGAGGUGGAGAACUUUUGUGUCUAGCUCAGGGAUUGUAAAGCACCAAUCAGCACCCUGUUAAAACAGACCAAUCAGCUCUCUGUAAAAUGGACCAAUCAGCAGGAUGUGGGUGGGACCAGAUAAGAGAAUAAAAGCAGGCUGCCUGAGCUGGCGGUGGCAAUGCUUCCCUGUCUCCUUCUGUACUGUGGAAGCUUUGCUCUUUUACUCUGCAAUAAAUCUUGCUGCUGCUAACUGUUUGGGUCCACGCUACCUCUAUAAGCUGUAACACUCACCAUAAAGGUCUUACAGCUUCAUUCCUGAAGCCAGUGAGACCACGAACCCAGCAGGAGGAACGAACAACUCCAGACGCGCUGCCUUAAGAGCUGUUAACACUCACCGCAAGGUCUGCAGCUUCACUCCUGAAGCCAGAGAGACCACGAACCCAGCAGGAGGAAUGAACAACUCCAGAUGCGCCGCCUUAAGAGCUGUAACGCUCACCGCGAAGGUCUGCAGCCUCACUCCUGAGCCAGCGAGACCACGAACCCACCAGAAGGAAGAAACUCCGAACACAUCCGAACCUCGGAAGGAAGAAACUCCAAACACAUCCAAACAUCAGAAGGAACAAACUCUGCACACACCGCCUUUAAGAACUGUAACACUCACCACCAGGGUUCGCGGCUUCAUUCUUGAAGUCAGUGAGACCAAGAAGCCACCAAUUCCGGACACAAUAUGAAGGGGGAAUCUGGAAUAUUUCAAGAUAAGGUCCAAUUCUUCCAUUGUCUCGUAAUCCAAUGCAGAGAUGUGAAAUGUAAGAUCAUCUGAAGGAGAGCUUUGGUUCAAGUCAAAUGCAUGCCUCAACCUAGCAGAGCCAAAGAGAUACUUGUAUGAUGAUGGUAGAGAGCAGUCUACAG